GACGAACGCUGGCGGCGUGCUUAACACAUGCAAGUCGAACGGAGUGGCGAACUGGUGAGUAACACGUGGGUGACCUGCCCUGCAUUUCGGGAUAAUCUUGGGCAACUGGGUCUAAUACCGGAUAGUGUGGGAUGGGCCCGCGGCCUAUGGGCUUGUUGGUGGGGUAAUGGCCUACCAAGGCGGCGACGGGUAGCCGGCCUGAGCGGGUGGACGGCCACAUUGGGGCUGAGAGACGACCCAGACUCCUACGGGAGGCAAAAGUGGGGGAUAUUGCACAAGAGGCGGAAGCCUGAUGCAGCGACGCAGCGUGGGGGAUGACGGCCUUGGGAUUGUAAACUCCUUUCACUAUCGACGCGGUAGAUGGAGAAGAAGCACCGGCGAACUCCAUGCCAGCGGCCGCGGUAAUAC
rnacentral:rRNA from 1 species